rnacentral:rRNA from 1 species
CGUCUAUAUACGUAUAGCAUAUCAAUAAGCGGAGGAAAAGAGACUAACUAGGAUUCCCUUAGUAACGGCGAGUGAAGCGGGAAGAGCUCAAAUUUGAAAUCUUCAAGGUUUUACCUUGACGAAUUGUAGUUUAAAGAAGUGUUUUCUGUUGAGUUUCGGUAAAAGUUCUUUGGAAUAGGACAUCAUAGAGGGUGAGAAUCCCGUAUUUGACCAUUAUUUCAACUGUGUGAUACACUUUCAAAGAGUCGGAUUGUUUGGGAAUGCAGUCCAAAAUGGGUGGUAAAUUUCAUCUAAAGCUAAAUAUUGGCGAGAGGACCGAUAGCGAACAAGUACCGUGAGGGAAAGAUGAAAAGAACUUUGAAAAGAGAGUUAAACAGUACGUGAAAUUGUCAAAAGGGAAGCGUUUGACACCAGUGUUGUUUUCUCGAAAAUCAAUUAAAAAUGGACGUGAUUUUGUGUUGUAUUGACCUUAUAAGCUUUCUGCACUCUUUUCAUGUUAUUUUUAAUGCACUUUUCGUUUAACAAGUCAACAUCAAUUUCUUUUGUUGUAAAAAGGGUCAUUGGAAGGUGGCUUUCUUUUCGGAGAAAGUGUUUAUAGCCUUUGACUUCUGCAAUCGGAGAGACUGAGGUCUGCAGCGUAGAUCCUUCUGGGAUUAGAUUACAUUUGUGCUAAGUUAUAGCCUUUUAUAGACAACAUGUUGACUAUGAUUCAGUCAUGUAGCUUACUCGCUUAUGUAUUUUACCUACGCUUAGGAUGUUGACGAUCAGCUGAGCGCG